rnacentral:rRNA from 1 species
UAAUGCCUAGGAAAUUGCCCUGAUGUGGGGGAUAACCAUUGGAAACGAUGGCUAAUACCGCAUGAUGCCUACGGGCCAAAGAGGGGGACCUUCGGGCCUCUCGCGUCAGGAUAUGCCUAGGUGGGAUUAGCUAGUUGGUGAGGUAAGGGCUCACCAAGGCGACGAUCCCUAGCUGGUCUGAGAGGAUGAUCAGCCACACUGGAACUGAGACACGGUCCAGACUCCUACGGGAGGCAGCAGUGGGGAAUAUUGCACAAUGGGCGCAAGCCUGAUGCAGCCAUGCCGCGUGUGUGAAGAAGGCCUUCGGGUUGUAAAGCACUUUCAGUCGUGAGGAAGGUAGUGUAGUUAAUAGCUGCAUUAUUUGACGUUAGCGACAGAAGAAGCACCGGCUAACUCCGUGCCAGCAGCCGCGGUAAUACGGAGGGUGCGAGCGUUAAUCGGAAUUACUGGGCGUAAAGCGCAUGCAGGUGGUUUGUUAAGUCAGAUGUGAAAGCCCGGGGCUCAACCUCGGAAUUGCAUUUGAAACUGGCAGACUAGAGUACUGUAGAGGGGGGUAGAAUUUCAGGUGUAGCGGUGAAAUGCGUAGAGAUCUGAAGGAAUACCGGUGGCGAAGGCGGCCCCCUGGACAGAUACUGACACUCAGAUGCGAAAGCGUGGGGAGCAAACAGGAUUAGAUACCCUGGUAGUCCACGCCGUAAACGAUGUCUACUUGGAGGUUGUGGCCUUGAGCCGUGGCUUUCGGAGCUAACGCGUUAAGUAGACCGCCUGGGGAGUACGGUCGCAAGAUUAAAACUCAAAUGAAUUGACGGGGGCCCGCACAAGCGGUGGAGCAUGUGGUUUAAUUCGAUGCAACGCGAAGAACCUUACCUACUCUUGACAUCCAGAGAACUUUCCAGAGAUGGAUUGGUGCCUUCGGGAACUCUGAGACAGGUGCUGCAUGGCUGUCGUCAGCUCGUGUUGUGAAAUGUUGGGUUAAGUCCCGCAACGAGCGCAACCCUUAUCCUUGUUUGCCAGCGAGUAAUGUCGGGAACUCCAGGGAGACUGCCGGUGAUAAACCGGAGGAAGGUGGGGACGACGUCAAGUCAUCAUGGCCCUUACGAGUAGGGCUACACACGUGCUACAAUGGCGCAUACAGAGGGCGGCCAACUUGCGAAAGUGAGCGAAUCCCAAAAAGUGCGUCGUAGUCCGGAUUGGAGUCUGCAACUCGACUCCAUGAAGUCGGAAUCGCUAGUAAUCGUGGAUCAGA